rnacentral:rRNA from 2 species
AACGCUAGCUACAGGCUUAACACAUGCAAGUCGAGGGGAAACGACAUCGAAAGCUUGCUUUUGAUGGGCGUCGACCGGCGCACGGGUGAGUAACGCGUAUCCAACCUGCCCACCACUUGGGGAUAACCUUGCGAAAGUAAGACUAAUACCCAAUGAUAUCUCUAGAAGACAUCUGAAGGAGAUUAAAGAUUUAUCGGUGAUGGAUGGGGAUGCGUCUGAUUAGCUUGUUGGCGGGGUAACGGCCCACCAAGGCGACGAUCAGUAGGGGUUCUGAGAGGAAGGUCCCCCACAUUGGAACUGAGACACGGUCCAAACUCCUACGGGAGGCAGCAGUGAGGAAUAUUGGUCAAUGGACGAGAGUCUGAACCAGCCAAGUAGCGUGCAGGAUGACGGCCCUAUGGGUUGUAAACUGCUUUUAUAAGGGAAUAAAGUGAGUCUCGUGAGACUUUUUGCAUGUACCUUAUGAAUAAGGACCGGCUAAUUCCGUGCCAGCAGCCGCGGUAAUACGGAAGGUCCGGGCGUUAUCCGGAUUUAUUGGGUUUAAAGGGAGCGUAGGCCGGAGAUUAAGCGUGUUGUGAAAUGUAGACGCUCAACGUCUGCACUGCAGCGCGAACUGGUUUCCUUGAGUACGCACAAAGUGGGCGGAAUUCGUGGUGUAGCGGUGAAAUGCUUAGAUAUCACGAAGAACUCCGAUUG